rnacentral:pre_miRNA from 1 species
GGGAGCGCAGGAUCCUGGGCUGUGUCCCCUGGUGCCCUGGGAUCGGGGCCUGUGCUGCUGGAAUCGCGCUCCCGGGGCCGCAGCUCCU